rnacentral:rRNA from 1 species
GAGUUUGAUCAUGGCUCAGAUUGAACGCUGGCGGCAGGCCUAACACAUGCAAGUCGAACGGUAACAGGAAACAGCUUGCUGUUUCGCUGACGAGUGGCGGACGGGUGAGUAAUGUCUGGGAAACUGCCUGAUGGAGGGGGAUAACUACUGGAAACGGUAGCUAAUACCGCAUAACGUCGCAAGACCAAAGAGGGGGACCUUCGGGCCUCUUGCCAUCAGAUGUGCCCAGAUGGGAUUAGCUAGUAGGUGGGGUAACGGCUCACCUAGGCGACGAUCCCUAGCUGGUCUGAGAGGAUGACCAGCCACACUGGAACUGAGACACGGUCCAGACUCCUACGGGAGGCAGCAGUGGGGAAUAUUGCACAAUGGGCGCAAGCCUGAUGCAGCCAUGCCGCGUGUAUGAAGAAGGCCUUCGGGUUGUAAAGUACUUUCAGCGGGGAGGAAGGGAGUAAAGUUAAUACCUUUGCUCAUUGACGUUACCCGCAGAAGAAGCACCGGCUAACUCCGUGCCAGCAGCCGCGGUAAUACGGAGGGUGCAAGCGUUAGUCGGAAUUACUGGGCGUAAAGCGCACGCAGGCGGUUUGUUAAGUCAGAUGUGAAAUCCCCGGGCUCAACCUGGGAACUGCAUCUGAUACUGGCAAGCUUGAGUCUCGUAGAGGGGGGUAGAAUUCCAGGUGUAGCGGUGAAAUGCGUAGAGAUCUGGAGGAAUACCGGUGGCGAAGGCGGCCCCCUGGACGAAGACUGACGCUCAGGUGCGAAAGCGUGGGGAGCAAACAGGAUUAGAUACCCUGGUAGUCCACGCCGUAAACGAUGUCGACUUGGAGGUUGUGCCCUUGAGGCGUGGCUUCCGGAGCUAACGCGUUAAGUCGACCGCCUGGGGAGUACGGCCGCAAGGUUAAAACUCAAAUGAAUUGACGGGGGCCCGCACAAGCGGUGGAGCAUGUGGUUUAAUUCGAUGCAACGCGAAGAACCUUACCUGGUCUUGACAUCCACGGAAGUUUCCAGAGAUGAGAAUGUGCCUUCGGGAACCGUGAGACAGGUGCUGCAUGGCUGUCGUCAGCUCGUGUUGUGAAAUGUUGGGUUAAGUCCCGCAACGAGCGCAACCCUUAUCCUUUGUUGCCAGCGGUCCGGCCGGGAACUCAAAGGAGACUGCCAGUGAUAAACUGGAGGAAGGUGGGGAUGACGUCAAGUCAUCAUGGCCCUUACGACCAGGGCUACACACGUGCUACAAUGGCGCAUACAAAGAGAAGCGACCUCGCGAGAGCAAGCGGACCUCAUAAAGCGCGUCGUAGUCCGGAUUGGAGUCUGCAACUCGACUCCAUGAAGUCGGAAUCGCUAGUAAUCGUGGAUCAGAAUGCCACGGUGAAUACGUUCCCGGGCCUUGUACACACCGCCCGUCACACCAUGGGAGUGGGUUGCAAAAGAAGUAGGUAGCUUAACCUUCGGGAGGGCGCUUACCACUUUGUGAUUCAUGACUGGGGUGAAGUCGUAACAAGGUAACCGUAGGGGAACCUGCGGUUG